UUUCUGUGAAGAUAACUUUGUCCAGUUCUGCUACUGAGUGCAAGUGACGAGAUUUAAGACUCUGAGGAAG